rnacentral:tRNA from 1 species
AAGAUGUUAACUUAAGUUUUAAAGUGCCAAACUUUUAAUUUGGNAANGG